UACAGAGGUCUCAAGCGUUGUUCGGAUUCAUUGGGCGUAAAGGGCGCGUAGGCGGCGGGGUAAGUCGGGUGUGAAAUCUCAGGGCUCAACCCUGAAACUGCACUUGAUACUGCUCUGCUUGAGGACUGGAGAGGAGACUGGAAUUCACGGUGUAGCAGUGAAAUGCGUAGAUAUCGUGAGGAAUACCGGUGGCGAAGGCGGCAUCCUGGACCGACAUUGACGCUGAUGAGCGAAAGCUAGGGGAGCAAACGGG
rnacentral:rRNA from 1 species